rnacentral:lncRNA from 1 species
AUAUUAUAUAUAUACAUAUAUAUAUAUAUAUAUAUAUAUAGGCACAAAGUCCAAUUAAUUAAUAGUAAUUAGCUUGUUUGAUAUUUUAGUCAACAGCAUAAAUUGUACUGCAUUAUCUUAUCACUACAGGUGGGAGAUAAUAUAGUUAGGAACGAAUUACAUUGUCCAGUAUUUCCGUCAUACAUUGUCUUCGAAUUUGGCUGCUAUUUACAGUAAGUUGGUGGACUGGUGAUUUUUAAAAAAAAAAGCCUUUUUGAUUCCUAUUUUACUCAAAUGUACUCUCCUAGCCAUUCGAUGUUUUGAAAAAAUUAUUUUUAUAAUUAAAUAUUAUUGGGAAUUGUAUAAAGAAAUUUUAAAAAAUAUUUUGUAAAUUGUAGAAGUAUAACCAAGUUAUUGCAGAUAAAUUUCAGCAGCAAAAUCUUACAUGCACCCACAAGGGGCAUAUUGACCCCUGUUUGGGAACCAUAGGUUUAAAUGAACGUCAGCCAAGCAGUGGAAUAAUUUUAGUUGACUGAAUUCUGAAUGCUGUUACAUUGCUGAAGACCAUAAAGAACAGAUCUGUUUUUGUCUUCUGGGAAAUGUCAUCAACAAAGUAGCCAGCCAUGACAAUGUCCCCUUCUAUAAUUAAUCAUAAAAUAGUUGUACUUGUUGAAAACUCCAUAUCUUCAGUUUUGAUCGGGGACGUGCCAUCUAGGUAGGCAGCGCCUAGCUUGGAUAAAAUAGAUUGAUAACAUACAAGUUCCUUUCAUGGCAAAAUAUACACCUAAUUCAAUAAAAUCCUGAAGGCUACUCUGAAUACUAUGCAUAAAAUGCAAAAUAAAUUUUUUUUUUUGUAGAUUAGGUAGGCAUAAUUCACCCCUGCUUUUCAAUCUCACUAUUUAAGCUAUUCUAUCGGUAACAGGACAUAAACACACCAGCAUCGGUUGUCAAGCAAUACUAGGGGGACAAACACAGACAUACAUACAAACACACACACGCAUAUAAUAUAUAUACAUAUAUACGACGGGCUUCUUUCAGUUUCCAUCUACAAAAUCCACUCACAAGGCUUUGGUCGGCCCGAGGCUAUAGUAGAAGACACUUUCCCAAGGUGCCACGCAGUGGGACUGAACCCGGAACCAUGUGGUUGGUAAACAAGCUACUUACCACACAGCCACUCCUAUGCAUAAUACUGCUCUAAUACAUGUGCUGUGUACAUUCCUACAACGUUUUCUUUACCUGCUAUAAAAGCAGAAGUAAAUCUGCCUACAACUCAGUCAUGUGUCUGUGUUUUGCUUAUUGUGUGUUUUACUACAUAAAGGUCACCAACUGCCUACCCUGAGUAAUUACUGAUGGCACAUGCCUGGUAUUGAUACUUUAAAAAAAAAAAAGUUUUAAAAUCUUAUCUGGAGUUCUCACAUUCUUUGUGAUUGCAAGGUAUUUAUGUGUACUUCACCCAUGCUUACACACAAAACGCACUCACAUUCAAAUUUCUGUUAUAUAGAGGAAGGUGAGUUUGUAGACUCAGUGUCAGAGAAAGAGCCUUGUGGUACUGGCAGAAACGUUAGCACGCCGGGCGAAAUGCUGAACGGUAUUUCGUCUGCCGCUACGUCCUGAGUUCAAAUUCCACCGAGGUCAACUUUGCCUUUCAUACUUUCGGGGUCGAUUAAAUAAGUACCAGUUACGCAUUGGAGUCGAUAUGAUCGACUUAAUCCGUUUGUCUGUCCUUGUUUGUCUUCUCUGUGUUUAGCCCCUUGUGGGCAGUAAAGAAAUAAGUACUUGUUCCAUCACUCUGCAUUCGAAAUUGUAAUCCUGCCGAGAUCAACUUUACCUUUCAUCCAAGCGCUGGUGUCGAUGGUAUUGACUAACCCCGUCACCUGGCCUUGUAUCAAAAGCAGAAGCAAUUGUUACACUGAAGGAUGCAUCAGCAGGAUUAUUAAGAAGAGAAUGUAGAAAAUGCUUUGGAGAUAGUUAUUUCCCUUCAUACUUCUGAGGAUUGAGGACAUGUAUGAAUUACGUCCCUUACAUUCCAAACUGUAAAACUCGCGAGCCACCUCUGACUUCGAUCGUUGUAAUAUUAAGAAAAAUAUAUAUAAACUGUCAGGUAUCUAAAUUAGUUUAAUCAACUGAGAUUGAUGUUUAACUCUUCCCCAGCUGCCUUCCAGCAUUUUACCCCACCUCUUGGCCAUCACAGACACACUCGUAUAAAACUAUUAAGCAGAUAAACCGUUGCAUUAGUAAAAUAAAAUAAUCAUCCAAUAACUAUAUAACAAAGUAUAUUAAAUGAUUUUGCUAUUGUUCAUGAAACUUCUGAUUCUCUACUUAUAAUUUUUAUACUUUUCUAAAAACUCUCAACAUUUAUAUAAUAAAAA